GACACGAUCUUAUUUAUCCAACACUUCUGAUGAGUUAUCUAGAACAGUUUUUUUCCACUUACCCAGUGAGGGGGGAUCCCUAACAGGUCUCACUUUUGGCUACAAGUGACCAGUGUUUGCCAGGUGUGACCCACUCUGGGGACAGCAUCAGGUGCGGAGUUUGUCAAACCGUAUUGCAGGUGUCCUAAGGCAAGCUCAGGGAGGACAGAAAUCUCCCGUGGAGCAGAAGGGCAAAAGCUCACUUGAUAUUGAUUUUCAGUAUGAAUACAAACCACGAAAGUGGGGUCUCGCGGUCCUUCUGACUUUCUGGGUUUUAAGCAAGAGGUGUCAGAAAAGUUACCACAGGGAUAACUGGCUGAUGGUGGCCAAGCAUUCAUAGCGUUCUCACUUUUUGAUCCUUUGAUGCUGGCUCGUUUUAUCAUUGUCAAGCAGAAUUCCCACUAAUAGGGAAUGUGAUCUGGGUUUAGACUGUAGUGAGACAGAUUAGUUUUA